GAUGAACGCUGGCGGCGUGCCUAAUACAUGCAAGUCGAGCGAAUGGAUUAAGAGCUUGCUCUUAUGAAGUUAGCGGCGGACGGGUGAGUAACAUGUGGGUAACCUGCCCAUAAGACUGGGAUAACUCCGGGAAACCGGGGCCAAUACCGGAUAACAUUUUGAACCGCAUGGUUCGAAAUUGAAAGGCGGCUUCGGCUGUCACUUAUGGAUGGACCCGCGUCGCAUUAGCUAGUUGGUGAGGUAACGGCUCACCAAGGCAACGAUGCGUAGCCGACCUGAGAGGGUGAUCGGCCACACUGGGACUGAGACACGGCCCAGACUCCUACGGGAGGCAGCAGUAGGGAAUCUUCCGCAAUGGACGAAAGUCUGACGGAGCAACGCCGCGUGAGUGAUGAAGGCUUUCGGGUCGUAAAACUCUGUUGUUAGGGAAGAACAAGUGCUAGUUGAAUAAGCUGGCGCCUUGACGGUACCUAACCAGAAAGCCACGGCUAACUACGUGCCAGCCGCCGCGGUAA
rnacentral:rRNA from 1 species